rnacentral:lncRNA from 1 species
GUUGAGUCAAGAAAAUAACAUCAUGUGCUACAUUCCCUGUCUCACAUUCAGGACUACUAUGACAGACCUGACCAAAAGUCUCACUCACCGAGCUCUCCGACCACCCCGGGGUGUCCAUACACGGUUCCUCCCAUGACAGCAGCUCCUUGUUCAGAGAGCUCUCCGUAUCACCUUGGGCCAGAAGAGGAUGGCAGGUCCUCUGGAACUGGAGCUACAGAUUUUUGUGAACCACCAUGCAGGUUCUGGAAACCAAACACGUCCUCUGCAAGAACAGCCAGUGCUCCUAACAGAAAAAGAUGAAAAACGCAGUGGAAAAAUGAACAAGGGAUCUGAGUGUCAUCGUAAACACUCAAACCUGUUCAACUUCACUUAG